rnacentral:rRNA from 1 species
CCUUAAGCUCGUAGUUGAAUUUCGGGAUCAGUACGCUGGUCGUGCCUUCGGUAUGCACUGGUGUCACUGGUUCCUACCUUCUGAAGAACCAUCAUGCCAUUCAGUUGGUGUGGCGGGGAAUCAGGACUGUUACUUUGAAAAAAUUAGAGUGUUUAAAGCAGGCUCGCGCUUGAAUACAUUAGCAUGGAAUAAUGAAAUAGGACGUUUGACCCUAUUUUGUUGGUUUCUAGGAUCGACGUAAUGAUUAAUAGGGAUAGUUGGG